rnacentral:rRNA from 1 species
UACGUAGGGGGGCAAGCGUUUGUCCGGAUUUAUUGGGCGUAAAGAGCGUGUAGGCGGCCAGGUAGGUCUGCUGUGAAAACUCGAGGCUUAACCUCGAGCUGUCGGCGGAAACCAUCUGGCUAGAGUCCGGAAGAGGAGAAUGGAAUUCCCGGUGUAGCGGUGAAAUGCGCAGAUAUCGGGAAGAACACCCGUGGCGAAGGCGGUUCUCUGGGACGGUACUGACGCUGAGACGCGAAAGCGUGGGGAGCGAACAGG